rnacentral:rRNA from 1 species
ACGCUAGCGACAGGCUUAACACAUGCAAGUCGAGGGGCAGCACAGGUAGCAAUACCGGGUGGCGACCGGCGCACGGGUGAGUAACGCGUAUGCAACUUACCUAUCAGAGGGGGAUAACCCGGCGAAAGUCGGACUAAUACCGCAUGAAGCAGGGGCCCCGCAUGGGGAUAUUUGCUAAAGAUUCAUCGCUGAUAGAUAGGCAUGCGUUCCAUUAGGCAGUUGGCGGGGUAACGGCCCACCAAACCGACGAUGGAUAGGGGUUCUGAGAGGAAGGUCCCCCACAUUGGUACUGAGACACGGACCAAACUCCUACGGGAGGCAGCAGUGAGGAAUAUUGGUCAAUGGCCGAGAGGCUGAACCAGCCAAGUCGCGUGAGGGAUGAAGGUUCUAUGGAUCGUAAACCUCUUUUAUAAGGGAAUAAAGUGCGGGACGUGUCCCGUUUUGUAUGUACCUUAUGAAUAAGGAUCGGCUAACUCCGUGCCAGCAGCCGCGGUAAUACGGAGGAUCCGAGCGUUAUCCGGAUUUAUUGGGUUUAAAGGGUGCGUAGGCGGCCUUUUAAGUCAGCGGUGAAAGUCUGUGGCUCAACCAUAGAAUUGCCGUUGAAACUGGGGGGCUUGAGUAUGUUUGAGGCAGGCGGAAUGCGUGGUGUAGCGGUGAAAUGCAUAGAUAUCACGCAGAACCCCGAUUGCGAAGGCAGCCUGCCAAGCCAUGACUGACGCUGAUGCACGAAAGCGUGGGGAUCAAACAGGAUUAGAUACCCUGGUAGUCCACGCAGUAAACGAUGAUCACUAGCUGUUUGCGAUACACUGUAAGCGGCACAGCGAAAGCGUUAAGUGAUCCACCUGGGGAGUACGCCGGCAACGGUGAAACUCAAAGGAAUUGACGGGGGCCCGCACAAGCGGAGGAACAUGUGGUUUAAUUCGAUGAUACGCGAGGAACCUUACCCGGGUUUGAACGCAUUCGGACCGAGGUGGAAACACCUUUUCUAGCAAUAGCCGUUUGCGAGGUGCUGCAUGGUUGUCGUCAGCUCGUGCCGUGAGGUGUCGGCUUAAGUGCCAUAACGAGCGCAACCCUUGCCACUAGUUACUAACAGGUGAUGCUGAGGACUCUGGUGGGACUGCCAGCGUAAGCUGCGAGGAAGGCGGGGAUGACGUCAAAUCAGCACGGCCCUUACAUCCGGGGCGACACACGUGUUACAAUGGCGUGGACAAAGGGAGGCCACCUGGCGACAGGGAGCGAAUCCCCAAACCACGUCUCAGUUCGGAUCGGAGUCUGCAACCCGACUCCGUGAAGCUGGAUUCGCUAGUAAUCGCGCAUCAGCCAUGGCGCGGUGAAUACGUUCCCGGGCCUUGUACACACCGCCCGUCAAGCCAUGGGAGCCGGGGGUACCAGAAGUCCGUAACCGCGAGGAUCGGCCUAGGGUAAAACUGGUAA